AUAUGCGGCUGGUGUAUUUCUCUGAUAAAAUUGAAAUGAUAUAGAGAAGAUUAGCAUGGCCCUUGUGCAAGGAUGACAUGCAUAAAUCGAGAAGCCUUUU